CCUUGACCUUUGACCUUGACCUAAUUUUCAUUUUUUUUGGACCAAGGACCUCAAAUCAAAAGAUCCUAGGUCUCUAUCACUUAUGGUGUUCCAGUUUAAAAUACAUUUUAAAAUUUCAAAUACAAAAAGGGAAAUAACUCUCAUAUGGAGCGUUCAUAUUGCUUCGGUCGAAAUUGGACAAAUCAUGCGAAGGAUAUAACGAGCAAUUUAUAAAAUAAAUUUGUCGUAAUCUUUUACGGUUGCGAAGGAGUUGUGAUCACAAGGAAAACAGUGUUUGGGGAGAUAACUCCUACAAAGAAAAGUAUUCGGUUACGCAGGGUAAAUUUCAAAAGCGCAUAAACUGUUCGAUAUCAUAUACCAAAUAUCUAAGCGACAUAUUGCGAAACAAAUGUUUAUCGCAAGAACAAAAUUUGGCAGAAGAAAAAAAAAAUAAUCAGAAGAAAAACAAUAGGUCUUUCCACAGAAAAGUGGAAAGACCUAAUUAAUGAU
rnacentral:lncRNA from 1 species